AUGGUGCCCCGCGAGCAUGGGGACGAGGCCAUCGUGGCGGACGGGCACGGCAAGGAGGAGGAGGUCGGGGUGAUCAAGUUCAGCGUCACCAGCUUCCUCUGGCACGGCGGCUCCGUGUGGGACGCCUGGUUCAGCUGCGCCUCCAACCAGGUGGCGCAGGUGCUGCUGACGCUGCCCUACUCCUUCUCGCAGCUGGGGAUGCUCUCGGGCAUCCUGCUGCAGCUCUUCUACGGCUUCCUCGGCAGCUGGACCGCCUACCUCAUCAGCGUCCUCUACGUCGAGUACCGCUCCCGCAAGGAGAAGGAGGGCGUCAGCUUCAAGAACCACGUCAUCCAGUGGUUCGAGGUGCUUGACGGGCUGCUGGGCCCGUACUGGAAGGCGGCCGGGCUGGCCUUCAACUGCACCUUCCUGCUCUUCGGCACCGUCAUCCAGCUCAUCGCCUGCGCCAGUAACAUCUACUACAUCAACGACCGGCUGGACAAGCGGACGUGGACGUACAUCUUCGGCGCGUGUUGCGCGACGACGGUGUUCAUCCCGUCCUUCCACAACUACCGGAUCUGGUCCUUCCUGGGGCUGGGCAUGACCACCUACACCGCCUGGUACCUGGCCAUCGCCGCGCUCAUCAACGGGCAGGUGGAGGGCGUCACCCACACCGGCCCCAACAAGCUCGUCCUCUACUUCACCGGCGCCACCAACAUCCUCUACACCUUCGGCGGACACGCAGUCACUGUGGAGAUCAUGCACGCGAUGUGGAAGCCGGCCAAGUUCAAGUACAUCUACCUGCUGGCGACGCUGUACGUGUUCACGCUGACGCUGCCGUCGGCGUCGGCCAUGUACUGGGCGUACGGGGACGAGCUGCUGGCGCACGCCAACGCCUUCUCGCUGCUGCCCAAGACGGCGUGGCGGGACGCGGCCGUCAUCCUCAUGCUCAUCCACCAGUUCAUCACCUUCGGCUUCGCCUGCACGCCGCUCUACUUCGUGUGGGAGAAGGUGAUCGGCAUGCACGACACCAAGAGCGUCUGCCUCCGCGCCCUCGCCAGGCUCCCCAUCGUCGUCCCCAUCUGGUUCCUCGCCAUCAUCUUCCCCUUCUUCGGCCCCAUCAACUCCGCCGUCGGCGCCCUCCUCGUCAGCUUCACCGUCUACAUCAUCCCCGCGCUCGCCCACAUGCUCACCUACCGAUCCGCAUCCGCCCGCGCCAACGCGGCGGAGAAGCCGCCCUUCUUCCUGCCGAGCUGGACGGGGAUGUUCGUGCUCAACGCCUUCAUCGUGGUGUGGGUGUUCGUGGUCGGCUUCGGGCUCGGCGGCUGGGCCAGCAUGGUCAACUUCAUCCGCCAGAUCAACACCUUCGGCCUCUUCGCCAAGUGCUACCAGUGCCCCAAGCCCGGCGCCGCCGUCGCCCCGGGCCCCUCCUCGUUGCACCACUAG
rnacentral:rRNA from 1 species